AUGAAAAGGGACCUGAUGGACACUGGAGGUGUCACUCAUGGCUCUUCUCUACCCAAGCUCACCUCUGGGAUGCGCAAGACUGGUUACCAGAGUCCAGACAUCUCAAGGCAGGGGGUUUCGUCAACUAAAAAAGAGAGCCUGUCAAACACAAGCCCUGCAUCGCCUCUUGACUGGCCUGGCACACCAACCCAACCUCUCAAGAAGAUGAAGAGGGGGAUCCUGGAGCAGAUCAAGGAGGUUCGCCUGAUGGUUGCUGCAGAAGACAAAUGGAUGCUGGCUAAUUCUUGCUGCGGCAGCUCUGCCCUCUAG
rnacentral:rRNA from 1 species